rnacentral:rRNA from 1 species
GACGAACGCUGGCGGCGUGCUUAACACAUGCAAGUCGAACGGAAAGGCCCUGCUUUUGUGGGGUGCUCGAGUGGCGAACGGGUGAGUAACACGUGAGUAACCUGCCCUUGACUUUGGGAUAACUUCAGGAAACUGGGGCUAAUACCGGAUAGGAGCUCCUGCUGCAUGGUGGGGGUUGGAAAGUUUCGGCGGUUGGGGAUGGACGCGCGGCUUAUCAGCUUGUUGGUGGGGUAGUGGCUUACCAAGGCUUUGACGGGUAGCCGGCCUGAGAGGGUGACCGGCCACAUUGGGACUGAGAUACGGGCCAGACUCCUACGGGAGGCAGCAGUGGGGAAUAUUGCACAAUGGGCGGAAGCCUGAUGCAGCAACGCCGCGUGCGGGAUGACGGCCUUCGGGUUGUAAACCGCUUUCGCCUGUGACGAAGCGUGAGUGACGGUAAUGGGUAAAGAAGCACCGGCUAACUACGUG